GUUUCCUUCGGGAGGCGAGUAAAGCGGCGGACGGGUGCGUAACACGUGGAUGACCUGCCUGAGAGUGGGGAAUAACCCGGGGAAACCUGGACUAAUACCGCAUACGCUCGUGUGGUUGCGACCAUGCGAGGAAAGUUGGCCUCUGUUUUCAAGCUGACGCUCACAGAGGGGUCCGCGCCUGAUUAGCUUGUUGGUGGGGUAAUGGCCUACCAAGGCAACGAUCAGUAGCCGGCCUGAGAGGGUGACCGGCCACACUGGGACUGAGACACGGCCCAGACUCCUACGGGAGGCAGCAGUGGGGAAUAUUGGACAAUGGGCGCAAGCCUGAUCCAGCAACGCCGCGUGGAGGAUGAAGGCCUUCGGGUCGUAAACUCCUGUCAGUAGGGACGAAAAGCCUUUGGUCAAUAGCCUUGGGUCGUGACGGUACCUGCAGAGGAAGCCCCGGCUAACUCCGUGCCAGCAGCCGCGGUAAUACGGGGGGGGCAAGCGUUAUUCGGAAUUACUGGGCGUAAAGGGCGCGUAGGCGGCUUGGUAAGUGAAAGGUGAAAUCCCUCGGCUCAACCGAGGAACUGCCUUUCAAACUGCCUGGCUUGAGUCU
rnacentral:rRNA from 1 species